AUUGGACGCUGGCGGCAUGCCUUACACAUGCAAGUCGAACGGUAACAGGUUAAGCUGACGAGUGGCGAACGGGUGAGUAAUAUAUCGGAACGUGCCCAGUCGUGGGGGAUAACUGCUCGAAAGAGCAGCUAAUACCGCAUACGACCUGAGGGUGAAAGCGGGGGAUCGCAAGACCUCGCGCGAUUGGAGCGGCCGAUAUCAGAUUAGGUAGUUGGUGGGGUAAAGGCCCACCAAGCCAACGAUCUGGAGCUGGUCUGAGAGGACGAGCAGCCACACUGGGACUGAGACACGGCCCAGAUUCCUAAGGGAGGCAGCAGUGGGGAAUUUUAGGCAAUGGGCGCAAGCCUGAUCCAGCCAUGCCGCGUGCGGGAAGAAGGCCUUCGGGUUGUAAACCGCUUUUGUCAGGGAAGAAAAGGUUCUGGUUAAUACCUGGGACUCAUGACGGUACCUGAAGAACAAGCACCGGCUAACUACGUGCCAGCAGCCGCCGUAA
rnacentral:rRNA from 1 species